CUAAGCAUAUCAAUAAGCGGAGGAAAAGAAACCAACAGGGAUUGCCUCAGUAACGGCGAGUGAAGCGGCAACAGCUCAAAUUUGAAAUCUGGCCCCUUCGGGGUCCGAGUUGUAAUUUGUAGAGGAUGUUUCGGGCGCGGUGCCGGUCUAAGUCCCUUGGAACAGGGCGUCACAGAGGGUGAGAAUCCCGUAUGUGACCGGCCGCCAACCCCAUGUGAAACCCCUUCGACGAGUCGAGUUGUUUGGGAAUGCAGCUCAAAAUGGGUGGUAAAUUUCAUCUAAAGCUAAAUACCGGCCAGAGACCGAUAGCGCACAAGUAGAGUGAUCGAAAGAUGAAAAGCACUUUGGAAAGAGAGUCAAACAGUACGUGAAAUUGUUGAAAGGGAAGCGCUUGCGACCAGACCUGUCCGUGGGUGAUCAGCCUCUGUUCUCAGGGGUGCACUCGCCCGUGAUCAGGCCAGCAUCGGUUCGGGCGGCGGGAUAAAGGCCUUGGGAAUGUAGCUCCCCUCGGGGAGUGUUAUAGCCCUCGGUGCAAUGCCGCCAGCCCGGACCGAGGACCGCGCUUCGGCUAGGAUGCUGGCGUAAUGGUCGUAAGCGACCCGUCUUGAAACACGGACCAAGGAGUCUAACAUCUAUGCGAGUGUUUGGGUGUCAAACCCAUGCGCGGAAUGAAAGUGAACGGAGGUGAGAACCCCUGAGGGCGCAUCAUCGACCGAUCCAGAUGUCUUCGGAUGGAUUUGAGUAGGAGCAUAGCUGUUGGGACCCGAAAGGUACGGAUCUCCCAAUAUUCUAACGUGCGGCGAAGCCCGAGCUAACUGAUUUUUAGAUGGUGAACUAUGCCUGAAUAGGGUGAAGCCAGAGGAAACUCUGGUGGAGGCUCGCAGCGGUUCUGACGUGCAAAUCGAUCGUCAAAUUUAGGUAUAGGGGCGAAAGGUAAGAUACGACCGUCUGUUUUUAUGGUGUACGAAUGCUAACAUUUUCCCACAGACUAAUCGAACCAUCGCGCUAGGUGGGUAAUUGGGGCGUUCCCGGGGUGCGGCCCCCCGGGCGCCCGUCCAGUCCUCCGGGGCAACAUCACCACCUGCAUGGAUGCCCGAAGGCUGAUAUGCUGCGGUGGGACCCCACGGGGUCUCCCGUCCACAGACCAAAUGGUGGUGGCCCGAGCCUUGUAAGCAUCAAGGCUUGGGUUUAGAAAUGGCCGAGUCCUGCUCGCCUCGCCGAGCAGAUAGAGACGCUAGUAGCUGGUUCCUGCCGA
rnacentral:rRNA from 1 species